rnacentral:rRNA from 1 species
UGGAUCCAGACUCCGAUUCUGGCUCAGGAUAAACGCUGGCGGCGCACAUAAGACAUGCAAGUCGAACGAAAGUCGUUGUAAAGAUUUUGACAUGGACAGAGAACUUGUUCGAAGAAAAUGAAGAAUGACUUACAACAAUGGCUUUAGUGGCGGACUGGUGAGUAACACGUAAGCAACCUGCCUAUUAGAGGGGAACAACAGUUAGGAAUGACUGCUAAUACCGCAUAUGCCUUAACUAUCGCAUGAUAGAAGAGGGAAAGGAGCAAUCCGCUAAUAGAUGGGCUUGCGUCUGAUUAGAUAGUUGGUGGGGUAAUGGCCUACCAAGUCAACGAUCAGUAGCCGGGCUGAGAGGCUCUACGGCCACAUUGGGACUGAGAUACGGCCCAGACUCCUACGGGAGGCAGCAGUCGGGAAUAUUGCGCAAUGGAGGAAACUCUGACGCAGUGACGCCGCGUGCAGGAAGAAGGUUUUCGGAUUGUAAACUGCUUUAGACAGGGAAGAAAAAGGACAGUACCUGUAGAAUAAGCUCCGGCUAACUACGUGCCAGCAGCCGCGGUAAUACGUAGGGAGCAAGCGUUAUCCGGAUUUAUUGGGUGUAAAGGGUGCGUAGACGGAGAAGCAAGUUGGUUGUGAAAUCCCUCGGCUCAACUGAGGAACUGCAACCAAAACUACUUCCCUUGAGUGCUGGAGAGGAAAGUGGAAUUCCUAGUGUAGCGGUGAAAUGCGUAGAUAUUAGGAGGAACACCAGUGGCGAAGGCGACUUUCUGGACAGUAACUGACGUUGAGGCACGAAAGCGUGGGGAGCAAACAGGAUUAGAUACCCUGGUAGUCCACGCUGUAAACGAUGGAUACUAGGUGUAGGGGAUGAUAAAUCCUCUGUGCCGUCGCAAACGCAGUAAGUAUCCCACCUGGGGAGUACGGUCGCAAGGUUGCAACUCAAAGGAAUUGACGA